rnacentral:rRNA from 1 species
UGGCUCAUUAAAUCAGUUAUCGUUUAUUUGAUAGUACCUUACUACUUGGAUAACCGUGGUAAUUCUAGAGCUAAUACAUGCUAAAAAUCCCGACUUCGGAAGGGAUGUAUUUAUUAGAUUAAAAACCAAUGCCCUUCGGGGCUCUCUGGUGAUUCAUAAUAACUUCUCGAAUCGCACGGCCUUGCGCCGGCGAUGGUUCAUUCAAAUUUCUGCCCUAUCAACUUUCGACGGCUGGGUCUUGGCCAGCCAUGGUGACAACGGGUAACGGAGGGUUAGGGCUCGACCCCGGAGAAGGAGCCUGAGAAACGGCUACUACAUCCAAGGAAGGCAGCAGGCGCGCAAAUUACCCAAUCCCGACUCGGGGAGGUAGUGACAAUAAAUACUGAUACAGGGCUCUUUUGGGUCUUGUAAUUGGAAUGAGUACAAUUUAAAUCCCUUAACGAGGAACAAUUGGAGGGCAAGUCUGGUGCCAGCAGCCGCGGUAAUUCCAGCUCCAAUAGCGUAUAUUAAAGUUGUUGCAGUUAAAAAGCUCGUAGUUGAACCUUGGGCCUGGCUGGCCGGUCCGCCUCACCGCGUGCACUGGUCCGGCCGGGCCUUUCCCUCUGGGGAACCGCAUGCCCUUCACUGGGUGUGUCGGGGAACCAGGACUUUUACUUUGAACAAAUUAGAUCGCUUAAAGAAGGCCUAUGCUCGAAUACAUUAGCAUGGAAUAAUAGAAUAGGACGUGUGGUUCUAUUUUGUUGGUUUCUAGGACCGCCGUAAUGAUUAAUAGGGACAGUCGGGGGCAUCAGUAUUCAAUUGUCAGAGGUGAAAUUCUUGGAUUUAUUGAAGACUAACUACUGCGAAAGCAUUUGCCAAGGAUGUUUUCAUUAAUCAGGAACGAAAGUUNNGGAUCGAAGACGAUCAGAUACCGUCGUAGUCUUAACCAUAACUAUGCCGACUAGGGAUCGGACGAUGUUAUAUUUUUGAC